ACAGGCGUAGAAUCAUAGCACCAUAUUAUCGCGCCACUUAGUAAACGUUAUCAUCGCAGCCCGUACGCAUAUAAAUAGGAGACCGAAGCUUAGAUCUAGCAUAACACAAUUUUUGUGCAUCUUAAUUCUUUGUCUUCAAGUUCUCUAAGAAUCAACAACAAAAACCAAAAAUGGGCGCUGAAAAAGUAUCGAUGAACAUCGUUGUCGUUGGACAAGUAAACUCUGCCAAAGCCAUCAAAACCGUAGCCAAGGCUGCACCUUCCGCCAACAAAGCCAUGAAUUGUUAAUUCCAAUCAUCGCUCUCAAACUUCAAAAAUGCCAUAGCCCACACCACACAUAUUCAUUUAUAGUUUGAUGUAAUAUAUUUUAUUAUAACUAAUAUGUGUUGGCACUAAUAAACAAACCAGAUACAUCAAUA